rnacentral:rRNA from 1 species
UUUUAAUGGAGAGUUUGAUCCUGGCUCAGGAUGAAUGCUGGCGGCGUGCCUAACACAUGCAAGUCGAGCGGUAACAGGUCUAGUUUACUAGACGCUGACGAGCGGCGGACGGCUGAGUAACGCGUGGGAACAUACCCCAAAGUGAGGGAUAAGCAUCGGAAACGGUGUCUAAUACCGCAUAUGAUCUUCGGAUUAAAGGAUUUAUCCGCUUUGGGAGUGGCCUGCGUACGAUUAGAUAGUUGGUGAGGUAAAGGCUCACCAAGUCGACGAUCGUUAACUGUUCUGAGAGGAUGAUCAGUCAGACUGGAACUGAGACACGGUCCAGACUCCUACGGGAGGCAGCAGUGAGGAAUCUUCCACAAUGGGCGAAAGCC